GAUUAAACAUUUAUGGAAUUUCUGUCAAAUAAAAACAUUAUGAUAUGUUCUCUCCCUUAUUCACAGAUGUGACGUCUGACUCUUCCCCAAAGUCAAAAGGCCAUGAAAGCUUAACUUCCAGACUUGAAUUUUUCAGAGCCUGCACUGCUUUGGUUCUUCAGAUGAGGUGAGAAACAUGUCUUGAAUUCUCCGUGGUCCCAGAGAACCAAAAAGUAAAGCUGACAUUAACACAGUUCCCAAAAGUUCACAAAGAUUAAUAUGCUGCUAAAUUAUUUAAAAGGAUUGACAAUUCUUUAUCUUAUCCAUAUGCAUUACUUUGCUAUCCAGCUAGCUCUGUGCAGUUAUGAUGAGAAAUUUUAAAGAUAAGGUUAACCAAAAUAUCCCUCUUUGUUAAAAAUCAGCUCUGAUGGUAGAUUAAAAAAUGUGUUCUCCGUGGGGUGAGAAUCGACCUCAAAACUGUAAUUCCACUCAGUUGUUCUGACGCGGCUCUUCAAUCAUCUCUCAAAAUAAGUUUGUUUGAACUGCACUUCCUUCAAUAGGGAUUCUUCUUGUCUUUGACAUUAUCCACCAGGAAAGGAAAAGUAGAGGUGGGAAGAAAGGAAAAGUGGUCAAAAGUCCUUUAUGUGAAUAAUCAAUGUGGUGACUAGCUUGACUUGGUAGUCCCUGGUUCUAGAAAUCCACAGAUCUUUCUCUGUUGACUCUCAUCCUAUUUGCUCAUAUGUUGGGUUGCAUUAAGCUGCAACAGCCAUAUUUUACUGUUUUUGCCUCUAAAAUGAAUGUCCAUGAACCUGGGUUUGUGUGAUUCAAAUUAUAGAUUGUUUUCAACCUCCCAGAGGGAACCUGUGUAAGCAAGAUUUCUGCUUAUUUAUUAUUUCUUGGUUCUUUUCUUUCCCCCUUCCCUUGCCCUCCCUUCACCCCCUCCA
rnacentral:lncRNA from 1 species